rnacentral:rRNA from 1 species
UACAGAGGGGGCAAGCGUUGUUCGGAAUUACUGGGCGUAAAGGGCGCGUAGGCGGCCUUCUAAGUCGAACGUGAAAUCCCUGGGCUCAACCCAGGAACUGCGUCCGAUACUGGAAGGCUUGAAUCCGGGAGAGGGAUGCGGAAUUCCAGGUGUAGCGGUGAAAUGCGUAGAUAUCGGGAGGAACACCUGUGGCGAAAGCGGCUCACUGGACCACAACUGACGCUGAGGCGCGAAAGCUAGGGGAGCAAACAGG